UUUCCAAUAUCAUCAACAGACUACUUAGCUGGAAGUUUGCUCAGAAGGAAAGCUGUAGUCAUUGCUGCAGUUUCUUGGUUUCCUCCCAGUUUCUGUUACACUGAAUCUUUUUGACAUCGUCAGAAGACUACAAAGCAAGUUCAUGUCCAGUUAUUGCUGCUCAAAGGUCCAUGUGUUUGGGUAGUAACUGGAGUACCUGAAUCCUACAAGUUGCCAUAUCCUCAUAAAAGAAUGAUUGUCUUUCAUAUGCAACUCUCUGCUGCCAAUAUUUCUCCAAUAGGGGAAGAGCCUGGGAGAAUAUUGUCUACACAAGAAUUUGAGUGGCUUAAUCUUGUCCAAGUCUCAUAAAGCACCACAGAUACUGAGAGGCUCAGAGUCUCAUUUGGACGAAAGAGCAAGGGAUUUGGGCAGAAAAAUCUCAGUGCAUGCCCUGUAUGUGACUUUGCUCAUCUCCACGAUGGGGAACAACAUGACAGCCACAGAUCCUCUCUAUCUCCAUCUUCUCCUAACUUCAUGAUACGUCUCUCAGCAAACGUCAUCAAGAAAGACAACAAGGAUCCCAAAAUGAAAAUUGAA
rnacentral:sRNA from 1 species